rnacentral:rRNA from 1 species
CGCUGGCGGCGUGCUUAACACAUGCAAGUCGAACGGUAAGGCCCUUCGGGGUACACGAGUGGCGAACGGGUGAGUAACACGUGGGUGAUCUGCCCUGCACUUUGGGAUAAGCCUGGGAAACUGGGUCUAAUACCGAAUAUGACCAUGGACUUCACGGUUUGUGGUGGAAAGCUUUUGCGGUGUGGGAUGGGCCCGCGGCCUAUCAGCUUGUUGGUGGGGUAAUGGCCUACCAAGGCGACGACGGGUAGCCGGCCUGAGAGGGUGACCGGCCACACUGGGACUGAGAUACGGCCCAGACUCCUACGGGAGGCAGCAGUGGGGAAUAUUGCACAAUGGGCGCAAGCCUGAUGCAGCGACGCCGCGUGGGGAUGACGGCCUUCGGGUUGUAAACCUCUUUCACCAGGGACGAAGCGAGAGUGACGGUACCUGGAGAAGAAGGGCCGGCCAACUACGUG